AUGGAGAGGGAAAUGGCUGCCUCAUAUGAGCCAAAACUAAACAGUGAAAUAAGGAUUUUUGAGAGUUCAGAUGAGAUAGUAACAGAUCUAGCUGAGUAUAUCUCCCAAGUUUCAGAAAUCUCUGUUAAAGAAAGGGGAUACUUCGCUAUUGCCCUAUCUGGAGGGCCCCUUGUCAGUUUUUUGAGGAAACUUUGUGAAGUGCCAUACAACAAGACCCUGGAUUGGUCUAAAUGGUACAUUUUCUGGUCUGACGAACGUGCUGUAGCAAAGAACCAUGCAGACAGUAACUAUAAGUUAACAAAAGAAGAAUUUCUAUCAAAGGUACCUAUUCUGAGUGGCCAUGUCUACUCCAUAAAUGACGGCGCCACGGUGGAGGACGCAGCAACGGACUACGAAUUUGUCAUCAGGCAGCUGGUCAAGAUCCGCACUAUAGGAGUCUCAGAGAGCAACGACUGCCCCAAGUUUGAUCUCAUCCUCCUCAGCAUGGGCUCCGACGGACAUGUGGCCUCAUUGUUCCCUAACCACCAAGCCCUCGAGCUGAAGGACGACUGGGUCACCUACAUCACGGACUCCCCGCAGCCUCCACCCGAGAGAAUCACCUUCACCCUCCCUGUGAUAAACUCGGCGUCAAACAUCGCGAUCCUCGCGACGGGCGUCGACAAGGCAAACGCUGUGCAUUCAGCCGUGUCUGACAGCAGCGACGGCCUAGACGCCGCCGCCCCGCUGCCUGCCAGGAUGGUCCAGCCAACGGACGGGAAGCUGGUGUGGUUUCUGGACAAGGCGGCCGCCUCAUCACUCGAGGCGCUGUCUGACGAUGCCUACCAGCAGCAGCAUCUGUGA
rnacentral:rRNA from 1 species